rnacentral:rRNA from 1 species
GAUAAACGCUGGCGGCGCACAUAAGACAUGCAAGUCGAACGGACUUAACCAUUAGUUUACUAUUGGAGCGGUUAGUGGCGGACUGGUGAGUAACACGUAAGCAACCUGCCUGUUAGAGGGGAACAACAGUUAGAAAUGGCUGCUAAUACCGCAUAAGCGCACAGUACCGCAUGGUACAGUGUGAAAAACUCCGGUGGUAUGAGAUGGACCCGCGUCUGAUUAGCUGGUUGGUGGGGUAACGGCCCACCAAGGCGACGAUCAGUAGCCGGCCUGAGAGGGUGAACGGCCACAUUGGGACUGAGACACGGCCCAA